rnacentral:rRNA from 1 species
ACGGGAGGCAGCAGUGGGGAAUAUUGGGCAAUGGGCGCAAGCCUGACCCAGCAACGCCGCGUGAAGGAAGAAGGCUUUCGGGUUGUAAACUUCUUUUAUUAGGGACGAAGAAAGUGACGGUACCUGAUGAAUAAGCCACGGCUAACUACGUGCCAGCAGCCGCGGUAAUACGUAGGUGGCAAGCGUUGUCCGGAUUUACUGGGUGUAAAGGGCGCGUAGGCGGGACAGCAAGUCAGAUAUGAAAUCCAUGGGCUGAACCCAUGAACUGCAUUUGAAACUGUUGUUCAUGAGUGUCGGAGAGGUAGAUGGAAUUCCUAGUGUAGCGGUAAAAUGCGUAGAUAUUAGGAGGAACACCAGUGGCGAAGGCGAUCUACUGGACGAUAACUGACGCUGAGGCGCGAAAGCGAGGGGAGCAAACAGGAUUAGAUACCCUGGUA